CCUACGGGAGGCAGCAGGGAGGAAUAUUGGGCAAUGGAGGCAACUCUGACCCAGCCAUGCCGCGUGAGUGAAGAAGGUUUGCGGAGUGUAAAGCUCUUGCGGAGGGGACGAGGAUGACGGUAGCAGCGAAAGAAGCCCCGGCUAACGUCGUGCCAGCAGCCGCGGUAAUACGAAGGGGGCAAGCGUGGUUCGGAAUUACUGGGCGUAAAGGGAGUGUAGGCGGUUUAGGAAGAUAGUGGUGAAAUCCCAGGGCUUAACUUUGGAAUUGCCAUUAUAACUCUUAGACUAGACUUACAGAGCGGCUAGUGGCCUCCCCCGUGUAGAGGUGAACUUC
rnacentral:rRNA from 1 species